rnacentral:tRNA from 1 species
GGUUGUGGCUCAGUGGUAGAGCACUUGUCUAGCACCUGUGAAGCACUGGGUUUGAUCCUCAGCACCA